rnacentral:antisense_RNA from 2 species
GUCUAUGGCGGGCCGUGUGGGGGCAUCUUCGGAUGCGCCGGUCCCAUUUCCCGGUACGCCAACCCCACACGGUCUGCCGCCCCU